rnacentral:tRNA from 2 species
CGGGGCGUGGCGCAGCUUGGCAGCGCGCUUGGUUUGGGACCAAGAGGCCGCGGGUUCAAAUCCCGCCGCCCCGACCA